UACGGAGGGUGCGAGCGUUAAUCGGAAUCACUGGGCGUAAAGCGCGCGUAGGCGGCUUUUCAAGUCAGGGGUGAAAUCCCACGGCCCAACCGUGGAACUGCCUUUGAAACUGUAGAGCUUGAGUGUCGGAGGGGGUGGCGGAAUUCCAGGUGUAGGAGUGAAAUCCGUAGAUAUCUGGAGGAACACCGGUGGCGAAGGCGGCCACCUGGACGACAACUGACGCUGAGGUGCGAAAGCGUGGGUAGCAAACAGG
rnacentral:rRNA from 1 species